rnacentral:rRNA from 1 species
GACGAACGCUGGCGGCGUGCUUAGCACAUGCAAGUCGAACGGUGAAGCGCCUUCCUUUUUGGUGGGUGUGGAUGAGUGGCGAACGGGUGAGUAACACGUGAGUAACCUGCCCCCUUCUUCUGGAUAACCGCAUGAAAGUGUUGCUAAUACGGGAUAUUCUGGGUCUGUCGCAUGAUGGGUCUGGGAAAGAUAUUGUUUCGGUGGGGGAUGGGCUCGCGGCCUAUCAGCUUGUUGGUGGGGUGAUGGCCUACCAAGGCGGUGACGGGUAGCCGGCCUGAGAGGGUGGACGGUCACACUGGGACUGAGACACGGCCCAGACUCCUACGGGAGGCAGCAGUGGGGAAUAUUGCACAAUGGGCGCAAGCCUGAUGCAGCGACGCCGCGUGAGGGAUGGAGGCCUUCGGGUUGUGAACCUCUUUCGCCAGUGAAGCAGGCCUGCCUCGUUUGUGGGUGGGUUGACGGUAGCUGGAUAAGAAGCGCCGGCUAACUACGUG